rnacentral:lncRNA from 1 species
AUGAAUAUGGCCCCCAGUGUCUCUAUAGCUGACUACAUUUUAAGAUGGCAUAAUGUGUUCAGGGACACACUGAUUUUGACAACUGUUUUAGAUGAGUUUAGGGGAUUGGUCUAUGGUCAAUAUAGUUUGGAAAAUGUAGUGAAGAAAAACUAUUUUUUAAACAGGCAUUUUCAAGAAUGUUACCAUGUGUAUAUAUACUGUAAAUUUAUAAGAGAUAUUUUGAGGUGCCACCUAGUGAUAUUAAUGUUUCAAGAAACAUGCUUUGGUAAACAGUGCUUUAGUGGGUCCUAUCUUUUUUAACCAACAUUGGAUUACAAAAGAAAAUGAAGGUUUGAUUGACAGGUUUAUUGGGAAACUACCCCACCAACCACAAUAAUAAAAAAUGUCAGGACCAAAAAUGAUGUUGUCCAAAUACACUGGGAGAAUAAUUGAUUCACUUUAAUAGAAUGUAUUUGCCUCAGAAAUAUAGUAGAUAAAACAUAUGAUGUUUUCUUUUUUCCUCAGAAGUCUACAGUGAUGUAAUUAAGCUGGAUAAAUUAAAAAUCCUAUUCCAAGAGUUNNNNNNNNNNNNNNNNNNUAAAAAAGAGGAGGGAAGAUCAUAAAUUAUUUGCAGAGCUGCCCUCCUAACCUUCAGAGCAGCCAAACGUUUUCUUUGGCUACUCUUCAGGGCUCUGGAUCCUAUCUUCUUUAUGCCCCUCCGUCUUGCUUUCUCAUGACUGCCUUUCAUCAGUCAUUCAAUGGCAUUCAAUUUGUCAGCUGUAAGGUUGGGAAACAAUUCCUAUAAAAUUAAUUUUUCAAAUUAUAUUGAGGACAGUGUGGUCCUCUGGCUGUCAUUCAUAUAGUUUUAACUGUGAUCACUAAUUUUAGUGCCAAAGAAGGAGUGUUUAAUGUUUGAAGAACUUCUGAUCCCUGAAAAUGGUUGACAGAGACAGCAGUUUCCCUGCUCAAGCCAUGCCAAGAGGCUCAUUAGGCUGGCCUUGAUCUACAGCCAGCUUAUGGUCAUGGCAGAAUUUCCUGCACUGAUGCUAAGGGUCCAGUGAUGACUUAAACUUGGGGUGAAGAGAUGUAAUCUUUACUCAGUGAGAAUUCUAAUUUCCUGAUAAAUUACCUAUGGGACAAAGGCUGCCAUUGUGACACAAUGAAAGGCUUAUUGUGUAGGUAGAUUCUUGCCGGAUGACUUCUGUCAUAUACUGCAGGGAAGCUCCUUUUCGUUGCCACAUGCUACCUUUUUUUCCUUUCAGGGGUUUUGUUUCUAGAAUGUUCAUCAUGUGAUUUACGGGAACUGAUGAUUAGGACAAACUGAUCCUCAAUAAAGGUCACAGCCCUUUGCUAUAUGCACUUACCUUUAUAUGUAAGAUAAAUUAUACUUGAUAAACUGAAAGUCUCUGAGCUUGGUUUUCCCAAAACACAUUGUGUGUGUGUGCGUUUGUAUGUGCGUGUGUGCAUGUGUGUGCGUGUGUGUGUGUGUGUGUGUGUGUGUGUGUGUNNNNNNNNNNNNNNNNNNNNNNNNNNNNNNNNCGUUAUAUUCUUGUGAUACUCCAGGGGAUCUUGGGCGGCCUUGGCUGGCAACGAACGGCUUGAAGCAGGGCUUGGGUCCCUAGCCAGAGACUGAGGCCAGCUCACAACAGUGAAAGUGCCAAAUCUUAGCCACUAGACAGUGACAAGGUCAGUGACAAGGGCCCUGGCACUUCAGGUUUGCAGAAAAGAAUUUCCAUAAAGACACAAAGUAGUGAAGCAAGUAAAAAGUAUUUAUUAAGAGGAAAAAAAGGACAGUACCAGUGGAUAGACACACUGGGGGACUCAGAGAGUGAGAGAGUUGCUGAGUCGUGCCCUCAUUGCAGUUUGAAUUACUUUUAUGGAGCACUUCUUCUGAGUUUCCUUUGGUCAAUCAUUUUGAUUUGCCUGGUUCACAGUCUAUAUUUGGUAUAUCUCAGGAUCCUCACUUGUGUGCACACGCAUCUCUUAGCCAAGAUGGAUUCUACUGAAAAGGCUUACAGGUAGGAUAUUUCUUGGCUUCACUCCCCAUUUGACAUCCAAGGAGCCUUUCUGAACAUGUGUGGCCAGGGAGGUCUCCUGACUUUGAGAAUAAGAAAUAUGCAGUCUGGGCUGGGCCCAGCCUUUCUUAAUUGUCCUGCUAUUCCCAUCUUGGAGUUUCAGUCCACAAGGAAUGAAUCUCCAAUCACUUUACCCUGAAGGGCACAGCCACCUCCGUCUCACAGGAACUUAAAAUCUCUUCAAGAAGGAAACAGAAAUACAAAUUAUUUAUUUUACUAGAGGGUAAAUUAUAAGAGGAUGCAUUAAAAAAAGUGGGGAAAAAGCAGUGGAAGAGAGUCAAAUGGUAAGUGAUGCAUUCUGUUUGGAGAAAUAGGAGAAAAUUUUUCAGGCAGGUCAUAAUAUUGGAUUUGGACCUUGAGAGAUAAAUUGGAUUUAAACAGUGAAACAGAGGAAUGGAUAUUCCAUGAGGAGAGAGCAUAAUAAGCAAAGGCACAGUUGUGUGUGACAUCCAGUGGUGGGAAAUGAUGGUGGCCUAGUGUGCCAGUGGAGAAUGCAAGAGAGGC